AGACUCUCCCUUCCAAAGAUAAAGAGUACAAAAAUUGGAUUUGCUGCAUCAAGGAGAUUAAGCCAGGAAGUAUCUCUUUGUGCAAAUGCUCUGUGCUACUUCUAUGGAAAUCCAGAGGAGUCACCUGGGAAAAACCACAACACAAAACACCGUCUCUUCAUUUAGCAAAGACAAAAGGUGUGUCUAAGAAGGUCCACAUCAAAAGAACACAGACUACACCUUUGAAGCAAGAGGGAUUUUGAAAACAGAGUCCUAAUAGGUGAUUAUGUCUGCUAUUGAAAUCAUCUUAACAUCAGCCAGGACUAUGAUGAGGCCUCCUAGGGCUUGCCACAUAAUUCAAACUGAGAGAUAUAUGCAUCCGAAGAAUGCAUUUUUUACUUACAACUGAUGUUGAAGAAGCAGUGGUACCCUAGUUCCCAUGGCAAUCAGUGUUCGGAAGAGUGUCCCAAAGCAGAGAUUGACAGUGGACUGGUGCUCACCCUGAACUUCUUUGUGAGAAGCUCCAGUGCUGCAACUGGUCAGCAAAUGCUACUGAUACAAAAUUUUCUGUGCUUCGUUUUCUCCAUCUUUGACUUAGUCAU